rnacentral:rRNA from 1 species
UACAGAGGGUGCGAGCGUUGUCCGGAAUCAUUGGGCGUAAAGGGCGCGUAGGCGGUCAGGUAAGUCAACUGUGAAAGCCCAGGGCUCAACCUUGGAAGUGCAGCUGAAACUACCUGACUAGAGUCUCGGAGAGGGUGGUGGAAUUCCCAGUGUAGAGGUGAAAUUCGUAGAUAUUGGGAGGAACACCAGUGGCGAAGGCGGCUUGCCAGAACGCGCUCGACGGUGAGGGAUGAAAGCUGGGGGAGCAAACCGG